rnacentral:lncRNA from 1 species
GUUUCCUUCUCCCUAAACCCCGUGCAGGGCUGCCAGCAAUGAGCCCGCCAGCCUGGGUCCUCCACCCCUGCACACACCAGCUCUGUUCCUGAGGCUGUUCCCUGCACAGGAUGCUCCCCACGAUCUGGAGGGAAGGAGUGACCGCGUUCCAGAGAGCGCCACAGAUCCCAGCUGAGAAGAAACUACUGGGAGAGAGCCCACCGCAAUCGAUGUCUUUGGGACACCCAGCAGCAAAUGAGGUGGGUAACGCAAGAAAGAGCACCAUCCCGAGUGUGUGGACUGCAGGGUGCAGCACUCGACUUUUGAGAGAAAGAAAAAGCAGCCAAGCAUUCAAAGCUUCAGUGGAAAGUGUACUUCAAUCACAGAGUAGACUGAUGCAUGAGGGACUCGUCUGGGCUAACUUGCAGUUUGGGCUGUUUUAAAAUGUGAGUGUGUGUGUGUGUGUGUGUGUGUGUGUGUGUGUGUGUGUAAGAACUCCAAGUGCUUUCACUGUGGUAUUUGCCAUCAGUGCCAAUGAAGUUUCAGGAUGAAAUGAGUGUUACUGAGUUCUUUUCUUAUGAAGCAAUGACAUUGUUUUACUGAUCCUAGGAAAAAAUUU